rnacentral:rRNA from 1 species
AUUGAACGCUGGCGGCAUGCCUUACACAUGCAAGUCGAACGGCAGCACGGGAGCAAUCCUGGUGGCGAGUGGCGAACGGGUGAGUAAAGUAUCGGAACGUGCCCAGUCGUGGGGGAUAACGUAGCGAAAGUUACGCUAAUACCGCAUACGAUCUAUGGAUGAAAGCGGGGGAUCGCAAGACCUCGCGCGAUUGGAGCGGCCGAUAUCAGAUUAGGUAGUUGGUGGGGUAAAGGCUCACCAAGCCGACGAUCUGUAGCUGGCCUGAGAGGACGACCAGCCACACUGGGACUGAGACACGGCCCAGACUCCUACGGGAGGCAGCAGUGGGGAAUUUUGGACAAUGGGCGAAAGCCUGAUCCAGCCAUGCCGCGUGCAGGAUGAAGGCCUUCGGGUUGUAAACUGCUUUUGUACGAAACGAAAAGGUUUGGCCUAAUAAGCUGAGCUCAUGACGGUACCGUAAGAAUAAGCACCGGCUAACUACGUGCCAGCCGCCGCAGUAA